UACGGGGGGAGCAAGCGUUGUUCGGAAUUACUGGGCGUAAAGGGCUCGUAGGCGGCCAACUAAGUCAUACGUGAAAUCCCUCAGCUUAACUGGGGAACUGCGUGUGAUACUGGAUGGCUUGGAUUUGGGAGAGGGAUGCGGAAUUCCAGGUGUAGCGGUGAAAUGCGUAGAUAUCUGGAGGAACACCGGUGGCGAAGGCGGCAUCCUGGACCAAUAUUGACGCUGAGGAGCGAAAGCUAGGGGAGCAAACGGG
rnacentral:rRNA from 1 species